rnacentral:tRNA from 1 species
GCGCCUGUAGUUCAAUGGAUAGAGCAUUGGGUUUCUAACCCGAAAGUUGCAGGUUCGAGUCCUGCCAGGCGUG